rnacentral:misc_RNA from 2 species
AACGCACCUUGCGCUCCUUGGUAUUCCGAGGAGCAUGCCUGUUUGAGUGUCAUUAAAUUCUCAACCUUAUCAGCUUUUGUUGAUAAUGGCUUGGAUGUGGGGGUUUAUUGCUGGCUUCUAACGAGGUUGGCUCCCCUUAAAUACAUUAGCUGGUUGCCUUGUGCAGACAUGUCUAUUGGUGUGAUAAUUAUCUACGCUGUGGACUUUCUGCCAGUAUUUAGCACCGCUUCUAACUGUCUGUUAACUUGGACAACAUAUGACAAUUUGACCUCAAAUCAGGUAGGACUACCCGCUGAACUUAA